GGUCAAGUAAUUAAGCGCACAUGGUGGAUGCCUUGGCGAUAACAGGCGAUGAAGGACGUGGUAGCCUGCGAUAAGCUUCGGUGAACCGGCAAACAGGUUAUGACCCGAAGAUGUCCGAAUGGGGAAACCCACCUUGAAAAAGGUAUCUAUAUUUGAAUACAUAGAGUAUAGAAGCAAACCUAGGGAACUGAAACAUCUAAGUACCUAGAGGAAAAGAAAUCAACCGAGAUUCCGUUAGUAGCGGCGAGCGAACAUGGAACAGCCCGGCUACAUAAGCUUAAUAGCUAUUAGCAGAAUAGUUUGGAAAAAUUAGCGAGACAGGGUGAAAGCCCCGUAAGCGAAAAAGUUAUUAAGUGGGUAGCCAAAGAGUAGGGCGGGACACGUGAUAUCCUGUCUGAAAAUAGGGGGACCAUCCUCUAAGGCUAAAUACUCGUUAUCGACCGAUAGUGAACUAGUACCGUGAGGGAAAGGCGAAAAGAACCCCUGUUAGGGGAGUGAAAUAGAACCUGAAACCGUGUGCGUACAAGCAGUGGGAGCAUAGUUUAGCUAUGUGACUGCGUACCUUUUGUAUAAUGGGUCAGCGACUUACUUUCAAUGGCAAGCUUAACUGUAUAAGGGAGGCAUAGGGAAACCGAGUCUGAAAUGGGCGAUAAGUCGUUGGAAGUAGACCCGAAACCGAGCGAUCUAUCUAUGGUCAGGGUGAAGAUAGGGUAACUCCUAUUGGAGGCCCGAACCCACUGGCGUUGAAAAGCUAGGGGAUGAACUGUGGAUAGGAGUGAAAGGCUAAUCAAGCUCGGAGAUAGCUGGUUCUCCUCGAAAGCUAUUUAGGUAGCGCCUUGUGUAUCACUCUCGGGGGUAGAGCACUGUUACGGCUAGGGGGCCAUCCCGGCUUACCAAACCGUUGCAAACUCCGAAUACCGAGAAGUGCAAUCACAGGAGACACACGGCGGGUGCUAAGAUCCGUCGUGGAAAGGGAAACAGCCCAGACUGCCAGCUAAGGUCCCUAAAUUAUGGCUUAGUGGG
rnacentral:rRNA from 1 species